GACGAACGCUGGCGGCGUGCUUAACACAUGCAAGUCGAACGGAAAGGCCCUGCUUUUGUGGGGUGCUCGAGUGGCGAACGGGUGAGUAACACGUGAGUAACCUGCCCUGGACUUUGGGAUAACUUCAGGAAACUGGGGCUAAUACCGGAUAGGAGCUCCUGCUGCAUGGUGGGGGUUGGAAAGUUUCGGCGGUUGGGGAUGGACUCUCGGCUUAUCAGCUGGUUGGUGGGGUAGUGGCUUACCAAGGCUUUGACGGGUAGCCGGCCUGAGAGGGUGACCGGCCACAUGGGGACUGAGAUACGGCCCAGACUCCUACGGGAGGCAGCAGUGGGGAAUAUUGCACAAUGGGCGGAAGCCUGAUGCAGCAACGCCGCGUGCGGGAUGACGGCCUUCGGGUUGUAAACCGCUUUCGCCUGUGACGAAGCGUGAGUGACGGUAAUGGGUAAAGAAGCACCGGCUAACUACGUG
rnacentral:rRNA from 1 species